AUGGUAGUUCCCAUUCUGCCCUCUUUCUUCAGGGCUCACCUGAAGACUGCAGGGAGCUUGAGGCCAUCUGCUGGGCUCCUCUUGUUGUCCCAUCGCAGCAGCUCAGAGGACACCAGUCCCAGUCCUGCUGUCUUUCUCAGGCCUCACCUGGAGGCUGCAGGGAGCUCGGGGCCAUUUGCUGAAUUCCUCAUGUUGUCUCAGUUCAGCAGGUUGGAGGACUCCAGUUCCUGUCCAGGUCCUUCUUUUUUCCUCAGAGCUCGAGAAAGAAGAGAUAUCUGGUGUCAUGGGUGUACGGUUGUAGCGGAGAAAGCAGCACAGUUUAUCCACCUACACCACCUUCCUGCUUCUCAGAAGCUCCAGUUCUGCAUCUCAAGAACAGCUAGUGUCCAAGAUCCUGCUGCUUCCAUGCAACCAUCUCUCAUGCAGACUCUGAUUUGUUCCUGUCCACCUAUUUGACGCGUUCUCUUGCUUAGAUGAUGCUCAGGG
rnacentral:lncRNA from 1 species